UACGUAGGGGUGCAAGCGUUAAUCGGAAUUACUGGGGCGUAAAGCGUGCGCAGGCGGUUUUUGUAAGUCUGUCGUGAAAGCCCCCGGGGCUCAACCUGGGGAAUUGCGAUGGGAGACUGCAAAGGGCUUUGAAUCUGGCAGAGGGGGGUAGAAUUCCACGUGUAGCAGUGAAAUGCGUAGAGAUGUGGGAGGGAACACCCGGAUGGCGAAGGGCAGCCCCCUGGGUCAAGAUUGACGCUCAUGCACGAAAAGCGUGGGGAGCAAAACAGG
rnacentral:rRNA from 1 species